AGACUAGAACACAGCUGAGCCAUGGCAUGAGUGGAAAAGCUCAGAUUCGCCAGCCACUGUUGCUCAGACGGUGAUAAAAAGCCUUCUCCUAAUGACUUUCUUUUCAUCUGUGGACUCUGAACGCUCUUGGGUUACAGCCUUGUUGGUCACGGCUCAUAAUAGGCCUUGCAGAGCAAUGAUACGGUGCUAGGUUAGCCAGACACUUAAAUGAGCGUCUCUAUUGAUAGAUGUAGGAUGUUUCUAAAUGAACUGGGAAAUGCAAUUUUUACGGCUCAGAGACUGUUCUGUGAUCCUAGGUUUUAGAGGAGAUGUUGACAUGUCAGUUCUAAAGCCUGCAUCUUCUUUCAGACCACUAAGGCCUUUCUUCCAACGAUGCUGGAGAUUAAUCAUGGCCAUAUUGUGACGGUGGCGAGCUCCCUGGGACUGUUCAGCACUGCUGGAGUUGAGGUUUGUCAGUUCAAAAGCACAUCGAAAAAAGACCAGCUACCACACCUUCCUGUCAGCUCAUGGUGCUUCCCUCUGACCCAGGACCAGCUCUGGAGGAGAACAGCCCAGUCCUCACAGAGCAGUUUUCCUUAGCAGCCUUGAUGGCGGUUAAGGCCUAGGGUCAAGAUGGCCCAUAGAGCGAAGACAGAGAAGUAAGGGCUCACAUUCUGUUUUAGUCAACCGGCCAAAAGUGAGCUGC
rnacentral:lncRNA from 1 species